UUUUGGGACUCCUGGGUGUCACUCAGAUCUCAGUGGGACCUCCAUAUGAAAGAACCUAGCAGGGAAACUCCUGCUCAUAUCCCAAGUUGGCAUGCACCCAAAGAAUCACGAGAGACG
rnacentral:pre_miRNA from 7 species